rnacentral:rRNA from 1 species
CACGUAGGCGGCAAUAUAAGUCAAAGGUGAAAGCCCUCGGCUCAACCGAGGAACUGCCUUUGAAACUGUUUUGCUUGAGUCCGGGAGGGGGGAGCGGAAUUCCCAGUGUAGCGGUGAAAUGUGUAGAUACUGGGAGGAACACCGGUGGCGAAGGCGGCUCCCUGGACCGGAACUGACGCUGAGGUGCGAAAGCGUGGGUAGCAAACA